rnacentral:rRNA from 1 species
CUGGUAGUCCACGCCCUAAACGAUGCGAACUGGAUGUUGGGCUCAACUUGGAGCUCAGUAUCGAAGCUAACGCGUUAAGUUCGCCGCCUGGGGAGUACGGUCGCAAGACUGAAACUCAAAGGAAUUGACGGGGGCCCGCACAAGCGGUGGAGUAUGUGGUUUAAUUCGAUGCAACGCGAAGAACCUUACCUGGCCUUGACAUCCACGGAAGUCUGCAGAGAUGCGGAUGUGCCUUCGGGAACCGUGAGACAGGUGCUGCAUGGCUGUCGUCAGCUCGUGUCGUGAGAUGUUGGGUUAAGUCCCGCAACGAGCGCAACCCUUGUCCUUAGUUGCCAGCGAGUAAAGUCGGGAACUCUAAGGAGACCGCCGGUGACAAACCGGAGGAAGGUGGGGAUGACGUCAAGUCCUCAUGGCCCUUACGGCCAGGGCUACACACGUACUACAAUGGUCGGUACAGAGGGUUGCCAAGCCGCGAGGUGGAGCCAAUCCCAUAAAACCGAUCUCAGUCCGGAUCGGAGUCUGCAACUCGACUCCGUGAAGUCGGAAUCGCUAGUAAUCGCGGAUCAGCAAUGCCGCGGUGAAUACGUUCCCGGGCCUUGUACACACCGCCCGUCACACCAUGGGAGUUUGUUGCACCAGAAGCAGGUAGCUCGACCGCAAGGAGGGCGCUUGCCACGGUGUGGCCGAUGACUGGGGUGAAGUCGUAACAAGGUAUCAAUCCCGCG